GAUGAACGCUAGCUACAGGCUUAACACAUGCAAGUCGCGGGACCGGCGCACGGGUGAGUCACGCGUAUCCCACCUGCCCUUCACCACGGGAUAACCCGGCGCAAGUCGGACUAAUCCCGUAUGGUGCGGGGUGGGGGUGCGUCCGAUUAGCUUGACGGCGGGGUAACGGCCCACCGUGGCUACGAUCGGUAGGGGUUCUGAGAGGAAGGUCCCCCACACGGGAACUGAGACACGGUCCAGACUCCUACGGGAGGCAGCAGUGAGGAAUAUUGGUCAAUGGGCGUAAGCCUGAACCAGCCAAGUAGCGUGCAGGACGACGGCCUAUGGGUUGUAAACUGCUUUUAUGCGGGGAUAGGUACCGCAUGAAUAAGGACCGGCUAAUUCCGUGCCAGCAGCCGCGGUAAUUC
rnacentral:rRNA from 1 species